rnacentral:lncRNA from 1 species
UUAAAAAAUUAACUUAUGAGUAUGGAAAGCUCUAUAUUCAUAAGAGUAUAAUAACCCUACUAUAUAUAUGAGUCCAACUACUAUACUCUUAUGAAUACGAUCACCCUUGUACUCAUAAGUCGUUUGCGAUGAUAGAGCUUCUGAAUCGAUAAUUUAUAACGUUAAACAUUAUCUAGAGCAUUUAAAAUUUUUAGAAAUCAAAUUUCAUUAUUUUUUGACAUCAUUUACUUUAUGAUCAAAAGGUUAUAAAAUUGACAAUUUCCAACGGCCGGUAUGGAAUACCCGUUAGUUUAACUGUGUAAAUGAAAUGAAAUUGAUUGAAUUUUUAAUAGAAAAUUUUAUUCACUACCUAAUAAGGAUCAAUAACUCCCAUCUUUUUUUUUUGAGGAGAAACACGCCGUAAGGCGAAUUUAUUUAUCAAUCGGU